rnacentral:lncRNA from 1 species
UUCGCCCCCGGGCCUUUCAGUGGCGCGGGCCGAGUGGCCAUGGCGCUCGGGUGCGCGCAGUGCACGCGGAAGGCGGUGCGGUGGCUCACACCUGUAAUCCCAGUACUUUGGGACGCCGAGGUGAGUGGAUCACCUGAGGCCAGGAGUUCGAGACCAGCCUGGCCAACAUGGUGAAACGUCAUCUCUAUUAGAAAUACAAACAUUAGCUGGGCGUGGUGAUGGGUGCUUGUAAUUCCAGCUAUUCAGGAAACCAAGGCAGGAGAAUAACUUGAAUCCACGAGGCAGAGGUUGCAGUGAGCCGAGAUUGCUCCACUGCACUCCAGCCUGGGCAACAGAGCAAAAACUGCAUCUCAAAAAAAUAAAAACAAAAAAACAGAGGGGACACCAGUUCCCAGCACUCCAGGCCUAACUUCAUAGCACUCACAUCAUGUCAAGUGAGUAACCAAAAAUCAGUGUACAUAUGUACACAGCUAUACAUAUCUCACACUAAGUUUUCUGUAAGAGUUCUUUUUAUUGCAGAGACACUGCUUUUUUUCUGGUUUAUGAAAUACAGUGAACAUUUAUGGACACAAAGCUGAGGUGACAGGGUGGGGAGGGGGGCCUUGGAACAGCACCAAGAAUCCUGGUUGAACCCUCCAAGUGAAAAGAUCCUGCCACGACAUACGUGAACCAGGUGUGACACGUGAGCACGUCUCACCUGAUCCGGCCUAUGGUGGGGAGAAGCAAUUGAGGAAGGCCUUCUGGGCAGGAGGAAGUUGUUGCUGAGGCUGCCGAGCAGGAUGUGUUGGGCCUGUGACUUAGGCAGAAAGGGCGCUCAGGCCCACAUGCUCAGAUGUGAGGACCUGCUUGCUGUGUUCAGGGAGCCACAAGUCACCUGGUCUUAGGGAAAGGUGAGGGGACUGGAGAGUUCUGAGGACCUUGAGGUAGAUUGGCACUGCCAGGCAUGUAGGCUGGCUUUAGCUCACUGAUACGCCUUGUUCAGCCCAGAGAGGUUUUCUUUUUUUAAUUGAUUAGUUGAUUUAAGAAACAUUUAGAUUUGGGAUGAGCUGUUUUGGAUGUUUAUCCUCAAUGAAACUCAUGUUCAAACUUAAUCUCCAAUGUGGCAGUACUGAGAGGUGGGGCCUCUAAGCGUGGUUGGGAUUAACCUGUCGAUGGAUUCAUGGAUUAAAGGGUUAUCACCGGAGUGGGACUGGUGACUUCAUUAGAAGAGGAAGGAAGACCUGAGCUGGCCUGUGAAUAUGCUCCGCCCCCUGGCCAUGUGACACCUGCGCCACCCUCAGGACUCUGCAGAGUCCCCAGCAGCAAGAAGGCCCUCACCAGGUGCAGCCCCUCAACCUUGGACUUCUCAGCCCCCAGGGCUGUAACAAAUAAAUUCUUUUUUAAAGUAA